rnacentral:misc_RNA from 1 species
CGAAAGCGUUUUUAACAGCGCAAGACCCACUGUGAACAUACCUGUUUGUUGCUUCGGCAGGCGGCCCCAGGGCGGGGCCAGCAGCCUGUAUUUUUUUCAGGCGCCUGCCGGAGGCCACUUCAAACUCUUUUGUAUACGUACUGUCUGAGCCUAAAACAAAAUACGUUA